CAAAGUGUAGCUUAAAUUAAAGCACCUGGCCUACACCCAGGAGAUUCCACCACCGUGGCCACUUUGA
rnacentral:tRNA from 1 species